GCCCAGAGCGUUGGGGAAACCCUUCCCGGCUGCCAGCAGUCCGACAGUUCCGCCCGCCUCCAGGUUUUCACCUGGGGGUCUUCCAACCUCCCAUACAACCAGAGUAUCUUUCCCAAGAGGGAUUCCUUACUCUUGCUGAGUUCUCUGAGUCUUGCAGUUUGGAACGCAAUUCCCGUGUCUGUCUUGUUCUCUGCAGCCUAUGACAAGCUUAAUAAUAGCAAGUCAUAUUAUUAGUUAUGUUAUUAACAAACGACUGAACGAUGUCAUGUCCUUUCUCUGAUUUUUUCAGGGCCUGCCGUUUACAUUGUCCUUUGCUAGGCGUUGUGGGACAUUCAAGCAGGGUAGCACACACUUUCUGCCUUCCAGGAACUUAAAGAUAAUGUUAGAAGACAAGUACCACAAAGCAGAGUCCACAAACUAUUCUACUCCACUGUUUUGGAGGUGCUUCCAGGAAUGACAUAAACUGAACACAUCCUGCCAUCUGAGACUUUUUCUCCCUGAAAAGAUAACGAAACGUGUAAUACUGUAGCUUCAAAAGAAAAGAAAUGUCAAGUCAUUUUUAGAUUUAGAAGGUGGAGCUGGUGGAGUCCAAAGCAGCAAUUGCAAGCAAGACAUUUCUUGGAAGUCUCAUAUUUUAUCUUGGAAAUUCAUGUGAUUUUUGUGUUCUACUUAAUAAUGCCUCCAUGUUUAUUUUUAAUAUAAAAAUGAUCUUUUAAAUUACUUAUCAUUGAGUAAAAGGGAAGGACCUGGUGUGUUAUCAUUCAUCUUCCCUUCCUCCAGGCACAUCAUCUCACCCUGCUCUGGAGACGCUGACCCUGGGGUGAGAAAUGGGGCCAAGUGGGAUUUGCGUGGGCACAGACUGGAAUGAAAGCAAUGCUCAUAAGCAGCCUAAUGUGGGAGGCCUGGAGAGAUCAGGUGGUAGUUGUUGGAGGAGAGGGCUCAGGAGCUUGAAAUGAGGGCUCACUGGAGGUGGUGAGA